UACAGAGGUCCCGAGCGUUGUUCGGAUUCACUGGGCGUAAAGGGCGCGUAGGCGGCAGAUCAAGUCAGCUGUGAAAUCUCCGAGCUUAACUCGGAACUGUCAGCUGAUACUGUUUUGCUAGAGUGCGGAAGGGGCAAUCGGAAUUCUUGGUGUAGCGGUGAAAUGCGUAGAUAUCAAGAGGAACACCUGAGGUGAAGACGGGUUGCUGGGCCGACACUGACGCUGAGUGCGCGAAAGCCAGGGGAGCAAACGGG
rnacentral:rRNA from 1 species